rnacentral:rRNA from 1 species
AUACUGAGGGUGCGAGCGUUAAUCGGAAUUACUGGGCGUAAAGCGCGCGUAGGCGGUAAGUUAAGUUGGAUGUGAAAUCCCUGGGCUCAACCCAGGAACUGCAUUCAAAACUGGCUCACUAGAGUAUGGUAGAGGCAAGUGGAAUUCCAGGUGUAGCGGUGAAAUGCGUAGAUAUCUGGAGGAACAUCAGUGGUGAAGGCGACUUGCUGGGCCAAUACUGACGCUGAGGUGCGAAAGCGUGGGUAGCAAACGGGAUUAGAAACCCCAGUAGUCC